rnacentral:rRNA from 1 species
AUUGAACGCUGGGGCGCGCUUAACACAUGCAAGUCGAUCGGUAACGCGGGGGCAACCCUGGCGACGAGAGGCGGACGGGUGAGGAACGCUUGGGAAUAUGCCUAUCAGCGGGGGACAACACGGGGAAACUCGUGCUAAUACCGCAUACGCUCUACGGAGGAAAGCCGGGGACCGCAAGGCCUGGCACUGAUAGAUGAGCCCAAGCCGGAUUAGCUAGUUGGCGGGGUAACGGCCCACCAAGGCGACGAUCCGUAGCUAGUCUGAGAGGACGAUCAGCCACACUGGGACUGAGACACGGCCCAGACUCCUACGGGAGGCAGCAGUGGGGAAUAUUGGACAAUGGGGGAAACCCUGAUCCAGCGACGCCGCGUGGGUGAAGAAGGCCUGCGGGUUGUAAAGCCCUUUCGGUAGGGACGGAAGCUCUCGACCUAACACGUCGGGAGGUUGACUUAACCUACAAAAGAAGCACCGGCUAACUCUGUGCCAGCAGCCGCGGUAAUAC